AUGCAGGAUGGUGCCACACAACACACAUCCAAUCAACGCACAUCACUUUCCCUUAUGACACAGUUAACCAUGGAUAAGGCAUAUAUCGCCAUCCUCUCCUUCGCCUUCCUCUUCCUGCUCCACUACAUUCUAGGCAAGGUCAGCAAUGGCAGGCGCAGCAAGGGCGCCGUCCAGCUGCCGCCGAGCCCCCAGGCCAUCCCGUUCCUCGGCCACCUCCACCUCCUGGAGAAGCCGUUCCACGCCGCUCUGUGCCGCCUCGCCGAGCGCCUCGGCCCGGUCUUCUCGCUGCGCCUCGGCUCGCGCCGCGCCGUGGUCGUCUCCUCGGCGGAGUGCGCCAGGGAGUGCUUCACGGAGCACGACGUGAUCUUCGCCGACCGGCCCCAGUUCCCCUCGCAGCUGCUCGUGUCCUUCGACGGCAUCGCGCUCUCCACGUCCAGCUACGGCCCGCACUGGCGCAACCUCCGCCGCGUCGCCGCCGUGCAGCUGCUCUCUGCGCACCGCGUCGCCUGCAUGUCCGGCGUGAUCGGGGGCGAGGUGCGCGCCAUGGCGCGCCGGCUCUUCCGCGCCGCCGCGGCGUCCCCCGGUGGGGACGGCGCCGCGCGGGUCCAGCUGAAGCGGAGGCUCUUCGAGCUCUCCCUCAGCGUGCUCAUGGAAACCAUCGCCCAGACCAAGGGGACCCGGUCGGAGGCCGACGCCGACACGGACAUGUCCGUGGAGGCCCAGGAGUUCAAGAAGGUGGUGGACGAGAUCAUCCCGCACAUCGGGGCCGCCAACCUGUGGGACUACCUGCCGGUGCUGCGGUGGUUCGACGUGUUCGGAGUGAGGAACAAGAUCCUUGCCGCGGUGAGCAGGAGGGACGCCUUCAUGCUGCGUCUCAUCGACGCCGAGCGCCGGAGGGUUGACGGCGGCGCCGAAGGCGACAAGAAGAGCAUGAUCGCCGUGUUGCUCACUCUGCAGAAGACGGAGCCGGAGGUGUACACCGAUACUAUGAUCAUGGCUCUCUGUGCGAAUUUGUUUGGGGCUGGGACGGAGACCACGUCGACGACGACGGAGUGGGCGAUGUCGCUGCUGCUGAACCACCCGGCGGCGCUCAAAAAGGCGCAGGCCGAGAUCGACGCGGCGGUGGGCACCUCUCGGCUGGUGACCGCCGACGACGUGCCGCGGCUCGCCUACCUGCAGUGCAUCGUGAGCGAGACGCUGCGGCUGUACCCGGCGGCGCCGCUGCUGCUGCCGCACCAGUCCUCGGCGGACUGCAAGGUGGGCGGCUACAACGUGCCGAGCGGCACGAUGCUGAUGGUGAACGCGUACGCCAUCCACCGGGACCCGGCGGCGUGGGAGCGGCCGCUGGAGUUCGUCCCGGAGCGGUUCGAGGACGGGAAGGCCGAGGGGCGGUUCAUGAUCCCGUUCGGGAUGGGCCGGCGGCGGUGCCCCGGGGAGACGCUGGCGCUGCGGACCAUCGGCAUGGUGCUGGCGACGCUGGUGCAGUGCUUCGACUGGGAGCGCGUGGACGGUGCGGAGGUGGACAUGACGGAGAGCGGCGGGCUCACCAUCCCCAAGGCCGUGCCGCUCGAGGCCGUGUGCAGGCCGCGCACGGCCAUGCGCGACGUGCUUCAGAGCCUCUGA
rnacentral:rRNA from 1 species